rnacentral:rRNA from 1 species
UGGAAACUNUCUGACUUGGGUGCAGAAGGGGAGAGUGGAAUUCCAUGUGUAGCGGUGAAAUGCGUAGAUAUAUGGAGGAACACCAGUGGCGAAAGCGGCUCUCUGGUCUGUCACUGACGCUGAGGCUCGAAAGCGUGGGUAGCGAACAGGGUUAGAUACCCUGGUAGUCCACGCCGUAAACGAUGAGUGCUAGGUGUUAGGCCCUUUCCGGGGCUUAGUGCCGGAGCUAACGCAAUAAGCACUCCGCCUGGGGAGUACGACCGCAAGGUUGAAACUCAAAGGAAUUGACGGGGGCCCGCACAAGCGGUGGAGCAUGUGGUUUAAUUCGAAGCAACGCGAAGAACCUUACCAGGUCUUGACAUCCCGAUGCUAUUCUUAGAGAUAGGAAGUUACUUCGGUACAUCGGAGACAGGUGGUGCAUGGUUGUCGUCAGCUCGUGUCGUGAGAUGUUGGGUUAAGUCCCGCAACGAGCGCAACCCUUAUUGUUAGUUGCCAUCAUUAAGUUGGGCACUCUAGCGAGACUGCCGGUAAUAAACCGGAGGAAGGUGGGGAUGACGUCAAAUCAUCAUGCCCCUUAUGACCUGGGCUACACACGUGCUACAAUGGUCGGUACAACGAGUUGCGAGCCGGUGACGGCAAGCUAAUCUCUGAAAGCCGAUCUCAGUUCGGAUUGGAGGCUGCAACUCGCCUCCAUGAAGUCGGAAUCGCUAGUAAUCGCGGAUCAGCACGCCGCGGUGAAUACGUUCCCGGGCCUUGUACACACCGCCCGUCACACCACGAGAGUUUGUAACACCCGAAGUCGGUGAGGUANCCUUUUAGGG